GGGGCUUACUGUCUUUUAACAUUUUUAUUUUCUUUUUAGGAUAGUAUGAACAUGAUUAACUAAGCAAACUAUUUGAAAUGAUUGAAAGGAAAAAGAUAACUACCAAGUUUACCUCUUGGCAAGGCGUUCGGUGUUUUUAAGUCCUCCGAACGGGACUCUCCGUUUUCUCAAUUGUCCUGGGAUUUGUUGGGUGGCGUAGUCGGUACUUCCGGCGGCGCCUCCUCUUCAUGUAUAGUUAUCUUCUCUUUCCAUACCUGACUCGGUGCUACGGUCUCCUCUGGAUAAUUCUGUUUGAACUGUAUGUCUUCUGACCUUACCACUUCUCCUUCAUAGUCUGCCCAUCCGUCCUUGAUGAUUUGACUCCUCUGGUUGCGGUUGCGUUGUUUUCUGACCUGCUUAGAGUCUUCAACGAUAUAGUUAGGGUCAGUAAAAUAGCGGCG
rnacentral:lncRNA from 1 species